UAGUAAAGUGGCGCACGGUGGUAACACGUAGGUAAUCUGCCCAUCGGUGGGGGACAACCAGUCGAAAGAUUGGCUAAUACCGCAUCCGUCGGCCGGGUCUGCGGAUCUGGUCGGGAAAGCUGGCCUCUAUUUAUAAGCUAGCGCCGAUGGAGGAGCCUGCGUCGCAUCAGCUAGUUGGUGGGGUAACGGCCCACCAAGGCGAAGACGCGUAGCUGGUCUGAGAGGAUGAUCAGCCACACUGGGACUGAGACACGGCCCAGACUCCUACGGGAGCAGCAGUGGGGAAUAUUGGACAAUGGCGCAAGCCUGAUCCAGCCACGCCGCGUGAGUGAUGAAGGCCUUCGGGUCGUAAAGCUCUGUGGGGAGGGACGAAACCUCAGGUGCCAAUACCACCUGAGCUGACGGUACCUCCUUAGCAAGCACCGGCUAACUCCGUGCCAGCAGCCGCGGUAA
rnacentral:rRNA from 1 species